rnacentral:sRNA from 1 species
AUUCACCCGGAACUUUCCCCGGACAGCCCUGCGCGAGCGGGGAGAGGGGAUUGCCCUGGCGCUUGCCGCGAGUCUCCUUCGCCCCGCCUGCGGGGAGAAGGUGGCCGGC